UUUGUGUAGCUCUGAUGUCUCUCUGAAGUUCAACCUGAAGUUGCUCCACCAUGAAACGGACUUCAGCAAUCAAGGUCUACAAGUUGCUUUUCAUGAUGGGAUGUAGCUGUUUUUUGCUCCUGGGAGUUGGGAGGUAACCAGGCAGGCGAUGCUGUGACACGGAGGAAGAGGGUGUAGUUUCAGUGGAUGUGGAUGUGCAAAGUUGCAUAGGUUC